rnacentral:lncRNA from 1 species
CUUUAAGGCAAAAUUAAAGAAAGAAACAAAAAUUUGAAAAUUGAAAUUUUAACAAAGAUUUUUAUGUUUGUAAGGUGACUUACUGCGCGCACCUUAUACCUGGCACAUUUCUGGCUAUUCGUUGUUUGAAGACUUGAUGUGUGAUUCUGCAUAGCUCUCUAAAUCGGGUGCUACUUUUAUGUCGAAGAUAUGUCAACUAGUGCUGGUUGCGUAGAGGAGCUGAAGACACUUAAAUCAGAUGUGGCUUAGGAUCUCUAAACGGCAGGAGUUGAACUGACUAAGUGUUUCUUGAACCACGAUCCUGGAGUGGUCAGUUGACGCUAAGUGACGGCCAGAACCCAGGAUACAUUUUCUACGCACCAGGCAAGCGCCCAGUCCUCAGCAGUUAAAUCGCUUUAUCCAUGAAGAAAUCGGGACGUGCUUUCGUUGAACCGACUUCGGAUUCGACUAGUUAGCGCUCCUAUGUCAUACGAUGCCAAAUUUCCGCUGUCGACGCUCAGGAGGUCUUGCGGGCGACAGUCAGGUUGUGCAUUCGCUGCUUUGUAUGAAAGCCUAGACUCCAGACCCAAAUGAUGGGAGCUUUACCGGCAGAUCGAAUCCGUGCUCUUCGCCUAUUCGCAGAAUGUGGCUUUGAUAUUUGUGUUCUAACUGCUGGCCCGACUUUGCAAAUUUGAGAAAAAGCCCCUUAUAAGUCUUACAUAGCGUUAAUUGUCUUUUGUGCGUAAAAGGCGGUUCAUCGAAAUUGUCUCCGAUCAGUCGACUUCUUAUUGCUUUUUCAAAGCUCUGUUGGUCGUCGAGGAUUUUUUGCGAAGGAGCAAAUCGCUACUUCAGCGAUCUACUGACGAGGACCGAGGCAAUUUGCGGCAAGCUGGUGCGAGUUUGCUUUCCUUCUGCCUCCAGCACGAAGCAAGAGUUAAAUCGGCCUUUAACGGGGACGGCGUUGCAUAGCGCCACAUUAUAGUUAUUUUUCUUCGGCAUAUUUUUGAAGUUUAG